rnacentral:rRNA from 1 species
AUUGAACGCUGGCGGCAGGCCUAACACAUGCAAGUCGAGCGGGGUUUUCGGACCUAGCGGCGGACGGGGUGAGUAAUGCGUAGGAAGCUACCCGAUAGAGGGGGAUACCAGUUGGAAACGACUGUUAAUACCGCAUAAUGUCUACGGACCAAAGUGUGGGACCUUCGGGCCACAUGCUAUCGGAUGCGCCUACGUGGGAUUAGCUAGUUGGUGGGGUAAUGGCUCACCAAGGCGACGAUCCCUAGCUGGUUUGAGAGGAUGAUCAGCCACACUGGAACUGAGACACGGUCCAGACUCCUACGGGAGGCAGCAGUGGGGAAUAUUGGACAAAUGGGCGAAAGACCUGAUCCAGCCAUGCCGCGUGUGUGAAGAAGGUCUUCGGAUGUAAAGCACUUAAGUUAGGGAGGAAAGGGGACGAGGUAAAGUUAAAUAGCACAUAGCCUUGACGUUACUCG